CGCGGUAAUUUGACCGUGCGAAGGUAGCAUAAUCAAUAGUCUUUUAAUUGAAGGCUGGAAUGAAUGGUUGGACAAGGAGUACGCUGUCUUAUUUGUAAGUAUAAAAUUUAACUUUUAAGUGAAAAGGCUUAAUUGGACUAGUGGGACGAUAAGACCCUAUAAAACUUUACAUUAGUGUACUAGGUUUUGAAUUUAAGUUUAAAGUGUGUUAGUGUAUGUAUGUUGCGUUGGGGCGACGGGGAUAUAAUUGUAACUGUUUGUUAGUUGGAAUAGAUAUAUUUAGGGAAUCUUGAUCCUUUAGUAGGGGUUAGAAGAGUAAGUUACUUUAGGGAUAACAGCGUUAUUUUUUCUGAGAGUUCUUAUCGACGAAAGUAGUUGCGACCUCGAUGUUGAAUUAAAGUUUCGGCGGGGUGUAGGAG
rnacentral:rRNA from 1 species